rnacentral:rRNA from 1 species
AACGAACGCUGGCGGCAGGCCUUACACAUGCAAGUCGAACGUGAAAGUCCUUCGGGAUGAGUAAAGUGGCGCACGGGUGAGUAACGCGUGGGAACGUACCCUUCAGUACGGGAUAACAGCGGGAAACUGCUGCUAAUACCGUAUAUUCUCGAGAGAGGAAAGAUUUAUCGCUGAAGGAUCGGCCCGCGUCAGAUUAGCUAGUUGGUGGGGUAAUGGCCUACCAAGGCUACGAUCUGUAGCUGGUCUGAGAGGAUGAUCAGCCACACUGGAACUGAGACACGGUCCAGACUCCUACGGGAGGCAGCAGUGGGGAAUAUUGGACAAUGGGCGAAAACCUGAUCCAGCCAUGCCGCGUGAAUGAUGAAGGCCUUAGGGUUGUAAAGUUCUUUUGACGGGGAAGAUAAUGACGGCACCCGUAGAAUAAGCUCCGGCUAACUUCGUGCCAGCCGCCGCAGUAA